UAGUCAAAAUGUUUGGUACCCCCUUAACAGUUUUUUUUUGUUUUGUUUUUUGGAAAGAAUAAACUUGUCAUUUGUAUGUAUCAAAAUUUUACCCUGAGCAUUGGAAAAAUUGCAUAAGAAAUGAUCAUCAUUUCAAAGAAAUAAUAUUGAGAUAGAAAUGGUGAAUGUGUCAUAGUGAUAACAACCAAAACAAAUGACAAAACAGCCCAAGAUCAUCAAUGGGUCUUCAACAAAGCGAGAAAAUUCCUCACCAGGAGGAGAGCUUCAGCUGGCUCCUAAAUAAAAUUUAGUGAAAAUGGACAUCACACUAAACUCCAAACAUAUAAAUGAACUUCAAUUAAAACGUACUAGAUUAACACAGGCAAGAGGCUUCUGACUUUUUUCUGCUUAGAUGGGAAUAUGAUUGGUUUGGUUGUUCUCUAUAUAAAAAAAAUUUGCUGAUGCAAGUUUUAAGAUAUGUGCCAUGUUGAUUCAGGUCUCAAGGGAUGUGCAUUAAUUUAGUGCUUAUACCUAUGUAUUGUCAGAGGGAAUAUGUUUUUUACAAGAUUUUUAUUAAUGUAUAUGAAAAAUAUGACUCAGAAUGACAAUUAUAUUUUUAAAAUU
rnacentral:lncRNA from 1 species